rnacentral:misc_RNA from 1 species
UCCGGCUUAUCACCGGCGGUUUCCUUAGAGUUCCCAACUAAAUGAUGGCAACUAAGGACGAGGGUUGUGCUCGUUGCGGGACUUAACCCAACAUCUCACGACACGAGCUGACGACAGCCAUGCAGCACCUGUCCUGGUGUCCCGAAGGAGGCCCCGGCUUUCACCGGGGUUUCACCAGGAUGUCAAGCCCAGGUAAGGUUCUUCGCGUUGCGUCGAAUUAAACCACAUGCUCCGCUGCUUGUGCGGGCCCCCGUCAAUUCCUUUGAGUUUCAGUCUUGCGACCGUACUCCCCAGGCGGCGAACUUAACGCGUUAGCUUCGAUACUGCGUGCCAAAUUGCACCCAACAUCCAGUUCGCAUCGUUUAGGGCGUGGACUAC